AACCUUUACAAUGCACGCAAGUGUGAUAAGGGAAUCCCAAGUGCUUUACUUUUUGUAAGGCUUUUGCUAUAUGUAAAUAGUAUAGCGAAUAAGUGGUGGGCAAGACUUGUGCCAGCCGCCGCGGUAACACCAGCGCCACAAGUGGCAACCAUGAUUAUUGGGCCUAAAGCGUCCGUAGCUGGUUUGAUAAAUUUUCUGUGAAAUUGUUAGGCUCAACCUAACAGCGUGCAGGAAAGACUGUCAAACUUGGGAUCAGGAGGAGUCAAAGGAAUUUUUGGGGGAGCGGUAAAAUGCUAUAAUCCCAGAAGGACCACCGGUGGCGAAGGCGUUUGACUAGAAUGAAUCCGACAGUGAGGGACGAAAGCCAGGGGAGCAAUCCGG
rnacentral:rRNA from 1 species